UGACUCUGCUCAAUGAUUAAUUAAAUAGCUGCAGUAUUUUAACUGUACAAAGGUAGCAUAAUAAAUUGUUUUUUAAAUGAAAACUAGAAUGAAUGAGGUGAUGAAAUAAAAACUUUAUUAAAUUUAAAUUUUGAAUUUUAUUUUAAAGUAAAAAAGCUUUAAUUUUUUUAAGGGACGAGAAGACCCUAUAGAAUUUAAUAAUUUUAUUAAUAAAAUUAUUAAUAAUAUUAUUUAUUUGGGAGGUAUAUUAAAUUAAAAAACUUUAAUUUAUAAUUUACAUAAAUAUAUGAUUUAUUUAGAUUUUAAAUAUUAAAUAUAAGAUUAAAUUACCUUAGGGAUAACAGCGUAAUAUUAUUU
rnacentral:rRNA from 1 species